AUGAAAAAAACGUCAACAUCUGAUCCUUCGGAGAGGAAUAAGAGAGAUAAUGAAGAAUUCCGCAAACUCUUUGUUGGUGGCUUGAGCUCUGAAACCACAGAAGAAACUCUAUGGAACUACUACCGGCAGUGGGGAUACCUUACAGACUGUGUGGUCAUAAGAGAUCCUGCCAGCCAGACAUCAAGAAGAUUUGGUUUUGUCACGUUUUCCUCUGUGGCUGAGGUGGAUGCUGCCAUGGCGGCCAGACCUCAUUCCAUUGAUGGGAAAAGGGUCGCCCCCAAACGAGCUGUCCCAAGAGAGGACUAUGGAAAACCAGGGGCUCUUGUCACUGUGAAGAAGCUGUUUGUUUGUAGAAUUGGAGAAGACACGGAGAAGCAUCAUCUUAGAGAUUACUUUGAGAAAUAUGGAAACAUCAAUGCCAUUGAGAUCAUUAGUGAUAGGGAGUCUGGAAGGAAAAGAGGCUUUGGGUUUGUGACUUUUGAUGACCACGAUCCUGUGGAUAAGCUUGUAUUGCAGAAAUACCAUACCAUCAAUGGUUAUCAUGCAGAAGUAAGAAAGGCCUUGUCUAGACAAGAAAUGCAGGCACUCCAGCAUUCUAGACUAGGAAAGGGAGGAGGUAAGGUUGAUUUCCUAUACUUGCAUAGUGGUGGUGGAAAUUUUGGAGCUGGACAAGGAAGGGACUUUAGAGGAGGAUCUAAUGGAGGUGGGAGCAGUGUUGAAUCUGGGGAUGGUGACCAUGGGUAUGGAGGGGGACCAGGAGGUGGUAGUUUGAGGGUUAGUCUUGGUUAUGGAGGAGGACCUGGACAUGGCCACCAGAAUAGGGGCUGCAGAGCGAGAGGAAGGAACGAUGGAAGUCAGAAUUGCUAUAAUUUGGGAAAUUAUAAGCAGAAACCUUCAAAGUACGAGUUACUGAAGAGUGGGAAACUGAAUGGUAGGAGGAAUAUGGAAGGAUCAUAUGGUGGAGGAAACUAUUGUCCAGGAGGCCAUGGAGAAAGUGGGGAUUAUGGAGAGAUGGCGAUAUUGAGCUUGUUAUUUGACAGGGGCUUGAUUGUAUAAAUCAGGGAGAAUGAGAGCCUGGAGGUAACAGAACAGCUUCAGGCUAUGGAAAUAACAAUGUCAAGGAAACUCUCAUUUCAGUCAUGCAUAAAUAUUUGGUGAUGUGGCCCAAGGCAUGAGAGCACGUGCAGAAAGCCAUUUUGUGAAUGGACUUAAUUAUGUAAAAACAUUACCAUCUUUGGAGGAAAAAAUCAUAUAAAAAAUGCUUUUGAGAUACAAUUCUUUCUUUUUGAAAUGUCUUUCCAGUGGCCACUGUUCAAGAGUGUAGAAGCAUCUCUUUCUUUGAUAAUGUUAAAUUUCAAUGUUUUGGGUGAGAUGUGAAAACCCUUUUUCAAGAUUUUCCCCAACAUUUGGAAAAACUAAUAGCUAGAAUCACUGUGUAAUAAGAGCUAACAUCAUUCUUAAAAAAUUUAGUUCAUGUGUAAAGAAGCUAUUGU